GACGAACGCUGGCGGCGUGCUUAACACAUGCAAGUCGAACGGAAAGGCCCUGCUUUUGUGGGGUGCUCGAGUGGCGAACGGGUGAGUAACACGUGAGUAACCUGCCCUUGACUUUGGGAUAACUUCAGGAAACUGGGGCUAAUACCGGAUAGGAGCUCCUGCUGCAUGGUGGGGGUUGGAAAGUUUCGGCGGUUGGGGAUGGACUCGCGGCUUAUCAGCUUGUUGGUGGGGUAGUGGCUUACCAAGGCUUUGACGGGUAGCCGGCCUGAGAGGGUGACCGGCCACAUUGGGACUGAGAUACGGCCCAGACUCCUACGGGGGGCAGCAGUGGGGAAUAUUGCACAAUGGGCGGAAGCCUGAUGCAGCAACGCCGCGUUCGGGAUGACGGCCUUCGGGUUGUAAACCGCUUUCGCCUGUGACGAAGCGUUAGUGACGGUAAUGGCUAAAGAAGCACCGGCUAACUACGUG
rnacentral:rRNA from 1 species